GAGUAAAGCUCCGGCGCUUCGGGAGAGGCCUGCGGCCCAUCAGCUAGUUGGUAGGGUAACGGCCUACCAAGGCAGAGACGGGUAGGGGGCGUGAGAGCGCGGACCCCCACACUGGCACUGAGAUACGGGCCAGACUCCUACGGGAGGCAGCAGUAAGGGAUAUUGCGCAAUGGACGAAAGUCAGACGCAGCGACGCCGCGUGGGCGAUGAAGGCCUUCGGGUUGUAAAGCCCUUUUAUGGGGGAAGAGAAAAAGGACGGUACCCCAGGAAUAAGUCCCGGCUAACUACGUGCCAGCAGCCGCGGUAAAACGUAGGGGACAAGCGUUAUCCGGAUUCACUGGGCGUAAAGAGCGUUGAGGCGGUUCCGUAAGUUGGGCGUGAAAGCUCCGGGCUUAACUCGGAGAUGUCGUUCAAUACUGCGGGGCUUGAGGACAGCAGAGGAAGGUGGAAUUCCCGGUGUAGUGGUGAAAUGCGUAGAUAUCGGGAGGAACACCCGUGGCGAAGGCGGCCUUCUGGGCUGUUCCUGACGCUGAAGGCGAAAGCUAGGGGAGCGAACGGGAUUAGAUACCCCGGUAGUCCUAGCUGUAAACGAUGGAUGCUGGGUGUGGGGGGUGUAAAUUCCCUCUGUGCCGAAGCAAACGCGUUAAGCAUCCCGCCUGGGGACUACGGCCGCAAGGCUAAAACUCAAACGAAUUGACGGGGGCCCGCACAAGCAGCGGAGCGUGUGGUUUAAUUCGAUGCUACACGAAGAACCUUACCUGGGUUUGACAUGCACGUGGUAGGGAACCGAAAGGGGACCGACCUUCGGGAGCGUGCACAGGUGCUGCAUGGCUGUCGUCAGCUCGUGCCGUGAGGUGUCGGGUUAAGUCCCGUAACGAGCGCAACCCUUGCCCUUAGUUACAAGUGUCUAAGGGGACUGCCCGGGACAACUGGGAGGAAGGUGGGGAUGACGUCAAGUCAGCAUGGCCUUUAUAUCCAGGGCUACACACACGCUACAAUGGCCGGUACAAUAGGUUGCGAAGUCGUGAGGCGGAGCCAAUCCUCAAAGCCGGUCUCAGUUCGAAUUGCAGUCUGCAACUCGACUGCAUGAAGCUGGAGUUGCUAGUAAUCGCAGGUCAGCUAUA
rnacentral:rRNA from 1 species